rnacentral:rRNA from 1 species
UGGUGGAGUGAUUUGUCUGGUUAAUUCCGAUAACGAACGAGACUCUAUCCUGCUAACUAGGUUGUGUUUUCUCGGGUUGGUGUUUCUGGUGUUCCUUCUCGGGGCGCCGGCCCAAUCCACUUGUGAACACAACACUCUUCUUAGAGGGACUGGCGGCUGUUAGCCGCACGAGAUAGAGCAAUAACA